rnacentral:rRNA from 1 species
AUGGCGAAGCUCCCGCGUGCCACAGGGAGGGCUGCAAUGGCGGCCGCUUGUUCUAUAGACGACGAAGCAUCCGCCAACGCCGUCAUCACCGCCGCGUGCUGCGUCGCAGCAUUCCCGCCGCCAUCGUGCUGUGUCGCAGCAUACACUCGUCGCCGCCGCGCCGGUGAAGCUUCGCCGAGCCAUGAGGUGCUGCAAUUUCGACGGCGGAAGCCGGUGCCGCGAUGGAGCACCAAUCUGCGGUGGUGCCGUUGCAGUGAAGCUCCGCCGGCGGCGCUGUCGCGGUGCUACAAUGGAGCCCGCCGCCCGGUGAUGGCGCUGUGCAGUGAAGCUUCGCUGAGCCACGGGGUGCUGCGAUGGAGUUUGGACGGGGCCAGCCGGUGCCUCAGAGCAUCUUCAACAGGUGCGGCAAAAGACGCGCCCGCGCAGUAA